rnacentral:lncRNA from 1 species
UCAGUGAUUGUCUUGAUGUUGUAAUUGUGUGACUGGUCCAUUGACCUGUGAUGGUAUGACUGCUCGCAGUGAGACUGCUGGAGUUUGACUGAUACAUAAAUAUGACCUCAUUGAGACCUUGUAGUAGAUGUUAGUGAUAGUUGAUCCACUGUAGGAGUAGGAUGCACAUCUAGAUGGAAUCUAUCGAUCUUGAUAGAGAGUAGUCUUAUGAGAUUUGAGAGGUUAAG